CCUUUCUACACCUUGUGAAAUGUUUUUCUGCAUUUACUAUAAUGAAAGGGAAUUCCCCAGACAUCAGUACCGGAGGCCAAACAUCACUCUUUAAUUCCUGAUUCCUCUGCCUCCCUCAAAAGUGGUACAGGAGGAUGGGAAAUGGAGGGUUGUGACGAUGGAGUGAAACAAGAGCCUGUGGGGCACAGUUCAUAUCUGAAGGUCAAUGGCAAAAGCCGCAAGUCUGGUACCUCUCAAGUGCCUGGUUUUCUCUGUCAGUUAGCAAAGAUGCCUGGGUUGGCUAAUUAAAUGCACUUCAAGAACUGCUGCAGGCAAGACCAGUGCUUCUGUCUGCAGUGAGGCACAGCUUCUGUGAAUGCAGCUUCAAGAGGGGACUUGAAUUAAAAAAAGCAAAACACACACCCGAGAAUGUCAACCUGAUGCCGAAAGCAGCUGUAAAAAAUCCCAGUAAGAAGAGGAACAGUUGUUUUAUGUCAUAAUGUUGGAGUCUAGAAGCCCACAGUACGUUCCUGGCUGUGCUUCUGCUCACUGUGUGACUUAAAAAAGGAUAAUUAUGACUUUGAUAUCUUCCAGUUGCUUCAGCUGGGAAACGGGUAAAGAAAUCUUCUGGUCCCUCUUUGUCACCACUUCAUUUGACAAGAACAGGCAAAUUCAGAAAUCUUGCAGCUCGACUUCACAGUUAAGGGAAACUUGAGGAUAUUUGAUUAGGAUUGUGCUUCAAAUGGUGACUUUUUUAGUUAGCUUAGUCCUGGAUCAACCCAGAGUAAUUUGUUUGGAAGAAAAUCCAAGCAACAAAUUAAUCAAUGAAUCCUUGGAGAUACAAACUUCGUUUUAUUUUGUGGCGUCAUAUAUGCAUUGCCUUUCUCAUUUCUUUUCAUUCUCCUGUUGCUACAAUGCAGGCUGGCUCAAGUUUGGGACCUGUAGACAAAAGCAGGGGGCAGACAUCCCAGCCUUCUCUUGUUUUGGCACUACUCUGCGGAGAGGGCCUGUAACUCUACCAUUAGACACACAACUCACUUGCACACUAAGAACAUGUGUGAGGGGACCACUUGAAGACUCCUUCCAUUGAGCUAACCGGUGAGAAGGGAGUUUUAAACACUCUGAAGUGCUGUUGUAACAGCUUUCCAUGUUUAUUGUAUAAUAGAAGCUAAAAUGUCUAACAGCUGUAUAAUACAUCACUUGCAUGGAGGCAGUGAAAAUUCUGAAGGCAAAAAUCUCAGUAAGGUAGGUAUUUUGUGGGGAGAAAAAGGUUUUUAAGCAGAGAGAACUGCAUUAACACAGAAUACUAGGCAAUUUGGUCCUGUUGCUGAGCUUAGAAGCAAAUUUGUCAUAAUAUUGGCCUCAGUUUUGAACUGGACUUUUCUGCCGUUGCUUUUCCUUCCCCUCUAAUUUUCAUAAUUUCAGGCUUAUGUACUGUAUGUGCUUCUGGGUGCUAAUACUGUCUCUACCAUGUUUCUGCAAUUUGUUUGCAAAAUAUCCUUUAGUCUGAAGCUGCUGUUGUGGAAAUUAUUAGUGAUCACAAUGUGUGCAAUGCCUAAUUAGUACUGGAACUCGAGCCUUAUCUUCUUCUCAUAUGCAGCCAGAAAUC